UAGCUGAAAAUUAAAAGGAAAAAUACGAAAAAUUAAUGCAGUGGCAGAGCUAAGAUUUUUACUAAAGCAAUUCAAAAUGAAAAAGUAAGCCUACAAAGAUCUACGUCAAGGCAUUCAACACACAAAAAAAUGAUUUUGACAUUAUGGAGGCGUUUGGCCAUGGAAAUUUUUGACUAUUUUGUCAUCAACUCAGGAAAACAAGUUUGGCCAUUAAAUUCCAAAAAGUUUCGGAAGUUGAUUUCCAUAAUGUUCAGGAUUUUAAAGAACACCAAAAAAUUAGUUUUUCAAUCUAAAUUACUCACAGAAUAUCAAAACAACUUCAAUUUAUAUUCACGCCCAAACAUAACUUCAUUUUUCAAGUAUCAUUUUUCAACUUCAAAACAAAAAACCACUUUUUUCAAAUUUCACACUGGCACAUAGCCAUACGACAUCUAUUAUAUAUGCUAUAAUUGUCGAAUUUGGAUGAAUCCCUCACGGUACAUCUAUUAUAUAUGCUAUAAUUGUCGAAUUUGGAUGAAUCCCUCACGGUACCUAGCUCUUCAUUGCAAGCUCAAUUGCUUAUAAUCGUGGAGCCGGUUUCAAAACAUGAAGAUCAAAAAAAGUAAAGGCACGAAGAAGUCCAUAUAUAUCUAUAUAUAUAUGAAAUAAUUUUAACGUUAUACAUAAAGUGUAAAAUUAUUGACGAAGGGGUUCAAAUAAAUCCCUUGAGGUAGCUCUAACAUGAUUGGGAUUACAGUCGAGCGGAAUCUUACUAAAGGAAUGGAAAACAUGAAAGCCACAAAAAGUAAAUACACAAAGAAGUCAAGAUAUAUACAUAAGAAAAAAUUUGAACAUUAUAUAUACAAUGUAAAACUAUCGACGAAGGAGGUUUAGAUAAAUCCCUUGAGGUAACUAGCUCUGACAUGAUUGUGAUUCCAGUCGUUAAAUAUGUAAACCAAAACAAAGUGAACGCACAAAGAAGUCAAGAUAUAUACAUAAAAAAAUAGUGUUAAUAUUAUAUAUACAAAGGGAUUCAGAUCAAUCCCAGGAGGUACAUAGCUAUGCCAUAGUUAUGUAAUAAGAUGGUU
rnacentral:lncRNA from 1 species